rnacentral:rRNA from 1 species
UACGUAGGGGGCCAGCGUUGUCCGGAAUCAUUGGGCGUAAAGCGCACGUAGGCGGCUUCUUAAGUCAGGGGUGAAAUCCUGGAGCUCAACUCCAGAACUGCCUUUGAUACUGAGAAGCUUGAGUCCGGGAGAGGUGAGUGGAACUGCGAGUGUAGAGGUGAAAUUCGUAGAUAUUCGCAAGAACACCAGUGGCGAAGGCGGCUCACUGGCCCGGUACUGACGCUGAGGUGCGAAAGCGUGGGGAGCAAACAGG